rnacentral:rRNA from 1 species
UACGUAGGGGGCAAGCGUUGUCCGGAAUCAUUGGGCGUAAAGAGCGUGUAGGCGGCUCGGUAAGUCCGCUGUGAAAGUCCAGGGCUCAACCCUGGAAAGCCGGUGGAAACUGUCGAGCUAGAGUCCGGAAGAGGCGAGUGGAAUUCCUGGUGUAGCGGUGAAAUGCGCAGAUAUCAGGAGGAACACCAAUGGCGAAGGCAGCUCGCUGGGACGGUACUGACGCUGAGGCGCGAAAGCGUGGGGAGCGAACAGG